rnacentral:rRNA from 1 species
ACCUGACUGCUAUCGGAUUGAUACUAAGCCAUGCGAGUCUUUGUAGUAAUACAAGGCAUACGGCUCAGUAACGCGUAGUCAACCUACCCUAUGGACAAGAAUAAUCUCGGGAAACUGAGCAUAAUUCUUGAUAGAUCAUAAUGCCUGGAAUGGUUUAUGGUUAAAAUGAUUUGUCCCCAUAGGAUGGGAUUGCGGCCUAUCAGCUUGUUGGUGAGGUAAUGGCCCACCCAGGCGGAUUACAAGUACGGGCUCUGAGAGGCGAAGCCCGGAGAUGGGUAUUGAGACACGGACCCAGGCCCUAUGGGGCGCAGCAGGCGAGAAAACUUUGCAAUGUGCGAAAGCACGACAAGGUUAAUCCGAGUGAUUUCUGCUAAACGAAUCUUUUGUUAGUCUUAGAAACACUAACGAAUAAGGGGUGGGCAAGUUCUGGUGUCAGCCGCCGCGGUAAAACCAGCACCUCAAGUGGUCAGGAUGAUUAUUGGGCCUAAAGCAUCCGUAGCCGGCUCUGUAAGUUUUCGGUUAAAUCUGUACGCUCAACGUACAGGCUGCCGGGAAUACUGCAGAGCUAGGGAGUGGGAGAGGUAGACGGUACUCGGUAGGAAGUGGUAAAAUGCUUUGAUCUAUCGAUGACCACCUGUGGCGAAGGCGGUCUACCAGAACACGUCCGACGGUGAGGGAUGAAAGCUGGGGGAGCAAACCGGAUUAGAUACCCGGGUAGUCCCAGCUGUAAACUAUGCAAACUCAGUGAUGCAUUGGCUUGUGGCCAAUGCAGUGCUGCAGGGAAGCCGUUAAGUUUGCCGCCUGGGAAGUACGUACGCAAGUAUGAAACUUAAAGGAAUUGGCGGGGGAGCACCACAAGGGGUGAAGCCUGCGGUUCAAUUGGAUUCAACGCCGGGA